AAUCUUGCGCAAUGGGCGAAAGCCUGACGCAGCGACGCCGCGUGAGUGAUGAAGGUCUUCGGAUCGUAAAGCUCUUUCGUCCGGGAAGAACGGCCCGGUGGCCAAUAGCCAUCGGGAGUGACGGGACCGGAAGUAGAAGCACCGGCUAACUCUGGGCCAGCAGCCGCGGUAAUACGUAGGUGGCGAGCGGUGUCCGGAUUUGUUGGGUUUAAAGGGUGCGUAGGCUGGGAGGUCAGUCAGCGGCGAAAAGCACACGCUUACCGGGUGUCUUGCCGCAGAUACUACUUUUCUUGGAUGAGGAGGAGGUCACUGGAACGGAUGGUGUAGCGGUGAAAUGCAUAGAUAUCAUCCAGAACACCGAUUGCGAAGGCAGGUGACUGUACCUUAAUCGACGCUGAGGCACGAAAGCGUGGGGAGCGAACAGG
rnacentral:rRNA from 1 species